GAUGAACGCUGGCGGCGUGCCUAAUACAUGCAAGUCGAGCGAACGGACGAGAAGCUUGCUUCUCUGAUGUUAGCGGCGGACGGGUGAGUAACACGUGGAUAACCUACCUAUAAGACUGGGAUAACUUCGGGAAACCGGAGCUAAUACCGGAUAAUAUUUUGAACCGCAUGGUUCAAAAGUGAAAGACGGUCUUGCUGUCACUUAUAGAUGGAUCCGCGCUGCAUUAGCUAGUUGGUAAGGUAACGGCUUACCAAGGCAACGAUGCAUAGCCGACCUGAGAGGGUGAUCGGCCACACUGGAACUGAGACACGGCCCAGACUCCUACGGGAGGCAGCAGUAGGGAAUCUUCCGCAAUGGGCGAAAGCCUGACGGAGCAACGCCGCGUGAGUGAUGAAGGUCUUCGGAUCGUAAAACUCCGUUAUUAGGGAAGAACAUAUGUGUAAGUAACUGUGCACAUCUUGACGGUACCUAAUCAGAAAGCCACGGCUAACUACGUG
rnacentral:rRNA from 1 species